CUUCCCCUCCCUUACUCCAGUCACUCUGUCCCCAGUGGAGUGGUCUGACAUUGACAGGGGAUACAGCACCACGGCUCUCUCACCUCUCAUCUAGGACCUUCAUCUUACAUGGGGCUUGUGAGAGAGCUGACAAU
ensembl:snoRNA